rnacentral:rRNA from 1 species
AGUGAACGCUGGCGGUAGGCCUAACACAUGCAAGUCGAACGGCAGCACAGUAAGAGCUUGCUCUUACGGGUGGCGAGUGGCGGACGGGUGAGGAAUACAUCGGAAUCUACUUUUUCGUGGGGGAUAACGUAGGGAAACUUACGCUAAUACCGCAUACGACCUACGGGUGAAAGCAGGGGAUCUUCGGACCUUGCGCGAUUGAAUGAGCCGAUGUCGGAUUAGCUAGUUGGCGGGGUAAAGGCCCACCAAGGCGACGAUCCGUAGCUGGUCUGAGAGGAUGAUCAGCCACACUGGAACUGAGACACGGUCCAGACUCCUACGGGAGGCAGCAGUGGGGAAUAUUGGACAAUGGGCGCAAGCCUGACCCAGCCAUACCGCGUGGGUGAAGAAGGCCUUCGGGUUGUAAAGCCCUUUUGUUGGGAAAGAAAAGCAGCAGGUUAAUACCCCGCUGUUCUGACGGUACCCAAAGAAUAAGCACCGGCUAACCUCGUG